CAUUUAUAUUAUGGGUAUAUGAUCUUCAGCUGUAAAUUGUUUUCAAAUUUUUUGUAAUAAGAAUGAAGUUUGUCCGUUAGUUUUUUUCCAUAUCUGAAUUAAUCAGUGUUGGCCGCGUACUAGUUGUCAUAUAUAAAUUUUAGUACUUCUUAUGAUGACAAUACAGCAGUUUACUCAAGGAAUGGAGACGCAUGGAUUCACUUAUCUCACACGUGGGAAAGUAUCAACAUCCUACAUUAAUGGACUGGAGGAGGUCGAGAAUAUUGCAGCUUUAAUGCAGUCUACGUAUAAUAGUUACUCAAAAAGGCAGUACGGCAGAUCACUCAAGUCACGCUGAUACAUGAAUUCACAUUUCUCACGCGUGGGAUAGUAUCAACAGCCUACGUUGCAAAUGGACUAGAAGAUGCUGAGAAUAAUUCGUGUUAUAUGCAAUAUGGCAGUACGGCAGUUCACUUAAGGAAUUCUGACGCAUGGAUUCACUUAUCUCACACGUGGGAAAGUAUCAACAUCCUAUGUUGCAAAUGGACUAGAAGAUGCUGAGAAUAAUACGUGUUAUAUGCAAUAUGGCACUACGGCAGAUCACACAAGGCAUGCUGAGACAUGGAUUCACAUUUCUCACACGUGGGAAAGUAUCAACAUCCUAUGUUAAUAAUGGACUUGAAGAUGUUGAAAAUAAUAAUGCAAUAUGACAAUACAGCAGUUUACUCAAGGAAUGGAGACGCAUGGAUUCACUUAUCUCACACGUGGGAAAGUAUCAACAUCCUACAUUAAUGGACUGGAGGAGGUCGAGAAUAUUGCAGCUUUAAUGCAGUCUACGUAUAAUAGUUACUCAAAAAGGCAGUACGGCAGAUCACUCAAGUCACGCUGAUACAUGAAUUCACAUUUCUCACGCGUGGGAUAGUAUCAACAGCCUACGUUGCAAAUGGACUAGAAGAUGCUGAGAAUAAUUCGUGUUAUAUGCAAUAUGGCAGUACGGCAGUUCACUUAAGGAAUUCUGACGCAUGGAUUCACUUAUCUCACACGUGGGAAAGUAUCAACAUCCUAUGUUGCAAAUGGACUAGAAGAUGCUGAGAAUAAUACGUGUUAUAUGCAAUAUGGCACUACGGCAGAUCACACAAGGCAUGCUGAGACAUGGAUUCACAUUUCUCACACGUGGGAAAGUAUCAACAUCCUAUGUUAAUAAUGGACUUGAAGAUGUUGAAAAUAAUAAUGCAAUAUGACAAUACAGCAGUUUACUCAAGGAAUGGAGACGCAUGGAUUCACUUAUCUCACACGUGGGAAAGUAUCAACAUCCUACAUUAAUGGACUGGAGGAGGUCGAGAAUAUUGCAGCUUUAAUGCAGUCUACGUAUAAUAGUUACUCAAAAAGGCAGUACGGCAGAUCACUCAAGUCACGCUGAUACAUGAAUUCACAUUUCUCACGCGUGGGAUAGUAUCAACAGCCUACGUUGCAAAUGGACUAGAAGAUGCUGAGAAUAAUUCGUGUUAUAUGCAAUAUGGCAGUACGGCAGUUCACUUAAGGAAUUCUGACGCAUGGAUUCACUUAUCUCACACGUGGGAAAGUAUCAACAUCCUAUGUUGCAAAUGGACUAGAAGAUGCUGAGAAUAAUACGUGUUAUAUGCAAUAAGGCAGUACGGCAGAUCACUCAAGUUACGCUGAUACAUGAAUUCACAUUUCUCACGCGUGGGAUAGUAUCAAAAGCCUACGUUGCAAAUGGACUAGAAGAUGCUGAGAAUAAUACGUGUUAUAUGCAAUAUGGCAGUACGGCAGUUCACUUAAGGAAUUCUGACGCAUGGAUUCACUUAUCUCACACGUGGGAAAGUAUCAACAUCCUAUGUUGCAAAUGGACUAGAAGAUGCUGAGAAUAAUACGUGUUAUAUGCAAUAAGGCAGUACGGCAGAUCACUCAAGUUACGCUGAUACAUGAAUUCACAUUUCUCACGCGUGGGAUAGUAUCAAAAGCCUACGUUGCAAAUGGACUAGAAGAUGCUGAGAAUAAUACGUGUUAUAUGCAAUAUGGCAGUACGGCAGUUCACUUAAGGAAUUCUGACGCAUGGAUUCACUUAUCUCACACGUGGGAAAGUAUCAACAUCCUAUGUUGCAAAUGGACUAGAAGAUGCUGAGAAUAAUACGUGUUAUAUGCAAUAAGGCAGUACGGCAGAUCACUCAAGUUACGCUGAUACAUGAAUUCACAUUUCUCACGCGUGGGAUAGUAUCAAAAGCCUACGUUGCAAAUGGACUAGAAGAUGCUGAGAAUAAUACGUGUUAUAUGCAAUAUGGCAGUACGGCAGUUCACUUAAGGAAUUCUGACGCAUGGAUUCACUUAUCUCACACGUGGGAAAGUAUCAACAUCCUAUGUUGCAAAUGGACUAGAAGAUGCUGAGAAUAAUACGUGUUAUAUGCAAUAAGGCAGUACGGCAGAUCACUCAAGUCACGCUGAUACAUGAAUUCACAUUUCUCACGCGUGGGAUAGUAUCAACAUCCUAUGUUGCAAAUGGACUAGAAGAUGCUGAGAAUAAUACGUGUUAUAUGCAAUAUGGCACUACGGCAGAUCACACAAGGCAUGCUGAGACAUGGAUUCACAUUUCUCACACGUGGGAAAGUAUCAACAUCCUAUGUUAAUAAUGGACUUGAAGAUGUUGAAAAUAAUAAUGCAAUAUGACAAUACAGCAGUUUACUCAAGGAAUGGAGACGCAUGGAUUCACUUAUCUCACACGUGGGAAAGUAUCAACAUCCUACAUUAAUGGACUGGAGGA
rnacentral:lncRNA from 1 species